AUUGAACGCUGGCGGCAGGCUUAACACACGCAAGUCGAGCGGAGCGAGGGUGCUUGCACCUUAGCUUAGCGGCGGACGGGUGAGUAAUGCUUAGGAAUCUGCCUAUUAGUGGGGGACAACAUUCCGAAAGGGAUGCUAAUACCGCAUACGCCCUACGGGGGAAAGCAGGGGAUCUUCGGACCUUGCGCUCAUAGAUGAGCCUAAGGAGGAUUGGCUAGUUGGCGGGGUAAAGGCGUACCAAGGCGUCGAGCUGUAGCGGGUCUGAGAGGAUGAGCCGCCACACUGGGACGGAGACACGGCCCAGACUCCUACGGGAGGCGGCAGUGGGGAAUAUUGGACAAUGGGGGGAACCCUGAUCCAGCCAUGCCGCGUGUGUGAAGAAGGCCUUUUGGUUGUAAAGCACUUUAAGCGAGGAGGAGGCGCUCUAGGUUAAUACCCUAGAUGCGUGGACGUUACUCGCAGAAUAAGCACCGGCUAACUCUGUGCCAGCCGCCGCCGUAAAAC
rnacentral:rRNA from 1 species